rnacentral:rRNA from 1 species
CUGGCUCAGGAUGAACGCUAGCGGCAGGCUUAACACAUGCAAGUCGAGGGGCAUCGGGAGUAGCAAUACUUGCCGGCGACCGGCGCAAGGGUGCGUAACGCGUGAGCAACAUGCCCGUAUCAGGGGGAUAAUCCAUGGAAACGUGGUCUAAUACCCCAUAGUAAUUAUGUAAGGCAUCUUAUAUAAUUUAAAGCUUUGGUGGAUACGGAUUGGCUCGCGUGACAUUAGCUGGAUGGUAAGGUAACGGCUUACCAUGGCUACGAUGUCUAGGGGUUCUGAGAGGAAGGUCCCCCCACACUGGAACUGAGACACGGUCCAGACUCCUACGGGAGGCAGCAGUGAGGAAUAUUGGACAAUGGAUGGAAAUCUGAUCCAGCCAUGCCGCGUGCAGGGAAAGACGGCCCUUAUGGGUUGUAAACUGCUUUUGUAUGGGAGCAAUAAGGGCUACGUGUAGUCCGAUGAGAGUACCAUUACGAAUAAGCACCGGCUAACUCCGUGCCAGCAGCCGC